rnacentral:ncRNA from 1 species
GCGGUACCGGUUCACGUCCCGUGCAGCUAGCGCAGCACGGUGGCGACCCGGCGACC